AUAAAGCGCCUGAGCCGUUCUUGCGGAAUAUAUACACAUUUUAACGCAAAACGGCUGACGAGGGUGGAAGUUUAUCGAAAUAUUCGGCGGAUGCUUCCCGGCUUCACAGAGAAGCUGCAUAUCGGCAUACAAAAUCCCCGGGCGACCGGAGAACAGAAGU
rnacentral:ncRNA from 1 species